CUCACCCUGGGCUUCCAAUCCCUCUGUGCUGCACGACAAUUCGACAGUAUAUUCGCCGCUCGAGAGACGGAACCAGGGGGACAAGUUGUAGACCUCCAAAACUAUUUUACGUUGAUGCGUUAGCGACAGUAGGGUAGAUGAGAGCUGGGAUCACUCAAACCAGGAGAACGCGAAAUUAAACUGCAUUUUAUGUCAUGUUUGGAAGUUUUGACAGAUCUCGUAAAACAGAGUAUAUUCUUUGAAUGUUAUUGUAUGCACAAUUCUGGGGUUGACAUACAGUAGGAGUGGGAGUUUCUGUAAUCGCAUGUUCCCCUUUUCCAAUGGACACGCAUUUGGAGACCCCUGGUACACCAAGUAGACCUAUGGAAUCACUUCUGUAAUGUGGAUUGCAAUUUUAUUUGAAAAAAAUAAAGGUCUACUUCAGAACGAUGUGAGAAGAUACGCGUCCUGGAUUUUCAUGUUUCUGGAUAUCUUAAAAAUUAUUGGCAACAGCUGAAAGUCGCUAUGCUCAAGGGAUUUCUGCUCAGGUGUCUUGCCUGCUCCGACCGUGGGACCAAAAUGGAUUUGACGCCACUGCAACCCCCCGUCCCCCAUUAACAGAAGUUCUAACAGUUCUUACAUUUUGUUAUUAACCUACGGUUUUAAAUUUGACAAAUGCUUUGGAAGAAAUCGCAAGACGACCCGCAUGGAUUUUAAAUCGACAUUUGCAUUUGGAAUUUCAAUCAUGAACUUCGUUGACAGUUUGAUAACCUUGUUUCUCCUGACACUUCUGUAUUUGUCAGCUGUCAAGAGUGCCCACAUACCGAAAGAAGGAUGGAGGAUUUCUCAUGACGGCGCCCCAGGCUACAAUGUUUUUAGUGCUUCAGUGCAGAAGGUACCAAGCUUUGUGGGGCUGAGAGAGGGAUUGAAAGAGGGAGUCAGUACAGAAGCAUACCAGAGCCACAGUGAGAGAGGAAAUGAGAGAGACACCUUGAUGGUGAUAUCCUUCAUGGAGGUGUACAAUAAGAGCCUAUGUCAGCCCAGGGAGCUGCUGGUAGAGAUCGCACAGGAGUACCCAGAGGAGGUAGAACAUAUCUUUAUCCCAUCCUGUGUGGUGCUGACGCGCUGCGCAGGCUGCUGCAACGAUGAGAUGCUAGAGUGCACGCCAACCUCCACGCAUAACAUGACCAUGGAGAUAAAAAGAAUAAAACCCCAAAGGCAAGAAAAUAAUAUCUUUAUGAGUUUUACAGAACACAGUGCGUGUGAAUGCAGGCCAAAGAAAGAAGUGAAAGAACAGAGACAAAAAAAACCCCGGAAAGGCAAGGGCAAAGGCCAAAAGAGAAAGCGAAAGAAAAACCAUGACCUAAAGAAUCGUGAAGCGUUUUUGCUGUUCCGUCUGCCAUAUCUGGGCUUUGUUUGCAAUUCAGUGCGAGCCAUGUUGUGAUGGCUGUUCAGAGAGGAGGAAGCAGGGGUUCAUCCAGGACCCUCUGACCUGCCAGUGUUCCUGCAGAAACUCCAAUGCCCACUGCCGGGCGCGUUACCUGGAGCUCAACGAGAGGACCUGCAGAUGUGACAAGCCAAGAAGAUGAGAGGCCAAACUUCAGAUGAAAUGACAUGAUGGAAUAUUCACAAGAUGUUUCACAGCUCAGCACUUUGAACUUUAAACUCUAAGCUCAUUUUCUCUGUGGAAAGCAUUCCUCUGGACUGACUGAGAAACAGCAGAGAGAGAAAGAGAAAGAAAAUGAACAGACAGAAAAAUCAUCCCAAUGUAGAUCUGUAUAUACUAAAGUAUAUACUAAAAGUACACAUUUUUUAUUGCUGCUAAAAGAAAACUAACUAAAACCCAUCAUUAUAAAAAAGCAAACAGCUGUGUGGUUUUGUAUUUCACUGGCGUGUGACCGGACUGCAGUUUUGUUGUAAUUUCAUUUAUGCAAAUUCUUCACUGGAUAUAUAUGAGUGGUUAUGUGUCGAAUCAGAAACAACAACCUAGCUAUGUGGUACAUAAAUCAGCAGAAAAGAGGAGGAAGAGAAGAAGGGAGAAUAUUCUUGGAGGGAUGGAAAGUUCUGACCCCUAGACUCCCGUUGCAGGAACCCAAUUGCAAUGGCAGGACAGCCAAUGGGAAAAUGGGGAUCUGUCCCUUUGUGACAAUUUAUUUUACCUGAAAGCAAGUUCUAAAACGGAUGUGUAGAACUUGUGGAAUGCUAGAACUGUGUCUUUUGCUGCCCUUUCUAGCAGUGGAACUGGAUUUGGAGUGCCAUUAAUACUUCUAAAGGGAUACUGAUGAUUGAUUUUGAUAUACAUGGAAACCUCUAGAAACAACUGAUACUGUAGCUUGAUUCCAUUGAGAAACUGUGCCUCAAACUGUGCUGAUCACUUCAGAGUGAGAAAUCCUGAAUCUGCUUCUUAAAUUAUUUAUUUGUUUUGUUUUCGGAGGGGAGGGGGAUAGUACCCUGUCUGCGGUUGAACUCAAUACAGAAUGCAAUAGUAUCGAUGGCAAGCUGUCUGUAUAUAUACCAUACAUACUUAAUAUCCCUUAUGUCAUAGUCCGCUAUAGAUAAUUUAUAAUGUUAGAGUAUUUUCAGUAUUCAGUCCUCUACCCGUAUUUAAUUUGAAAUAUUUAUAUAUACAGUGUUAUGUUCUUUUGGGUUUCCCCCCUCCCCGCUAUGUGAUGUCAUUAUCGUCUCCUCUCUGCCUAGCUACAAGGAGACACUGCUCUUGGCUUUUAUAAGAAAAGAAAAUCUUUAUGUAAACAUUCCUCAAAUGGAUCAUUUGUAUGGACGGCCUUUUUAAGGUGGGGGUGCUGCGUGUGAUUUUCACCCUGCUCGUGUGUGCGCAUGUGUGUGUGUGUGUGUGUGUGUGUGUGUGUGUGUGUGUGUGUGUGUGUGUGUGUGUGCGUGUGUGUGUGUUUUUAGAGGCAGAGUAGGCUUAUGCUUGUCUUGAGCUCCACCGCGCAAAUAACAAUAAACCCUUGCUAAAAGAAA